GCUUUGGUCCUGGAGCACACACACACACACACACACACACACACACACACACACAAAGAGUACAAAGAGUAGUCACUAUGAUGGUUCCGGAGUUGAGUAAGUUGACCUUUGAAGAGAGAUUAAGAAUGCUGGAAAUUCCUAUCCUUGAAAAUAGGAGACAGAGAGGGGAUUUAAUAAACAUCUAUAGAAUGAUAAAUGGUAUGAAAAAUAUGAACAAAGAAUGUUUUAUAACUUUAGACACACAGAGUACAAGGGGACACAGUAAGAAAUUGAAGAAGUAAGAAGUUGAACUAUUGAAGAGACAUCAAAAAGUAUAGUUUUCCUCACAGAAGUGUGAACAAAUGGAAUGAACUCAGUGAAGAUGUUGUCAAUGCAAUAAUUGUGUAGGAGUACAUAGAUACACCAUUAGAAGUUCGAAGUAGGUUCCAGUAAUGCGGUUUGCACCUCGUUGGGUACUGCCACGGUCUCGGUCAUUCGGCUGACUGGACGCCUACCGAAAAUACCACACACUCACGCCUGCAGUGGUUUUCCUUUAUUGUGAUUUAAGCACCACCUGGAGUUUGGGCCUCUGUUGUAUACUUGCUGUGACCGUGUCUGGGGAAUCUAACUGCGCCUGUGAACAGCGCCCGCAAAUAAACUCACGGCACCUG